AUUGAACGCUGGCGGCAGGCCUAACACAUGCAAGUCGAGCGGAUGAAGGGAGCUUGCUCCUGGAUUCAGCGGCGGACGGGUGAGUAAUGCCUAGGAAUCUGCCUGGUAGUGGGGGAUAACGUCCGGAAACGGGCGCUAAUACCGCAUACGUCCUGAGGGAGAAAGUGGGGGAUCUUCGGACCUCACGCUAUCAGAUGAGCCUAGGUCGGAUUAGCUAGUUGGUGGGGUAAAGGCCUACCAAGGCGACGAUCCGUAACUGGUCUGAGAGGAUGAUCGGUCACACUGGAACUGAGACACGGUCCAGACUCCUACGGGAGGCAGCAGUGGGAAAUAUUGGACAAUGGGCGAAAGCCUGAUCCAGCCAUGCCGCGUGUGUGAAGAAGGUCUUCGGAUUGUAAAGCACUUUAAGUUGGGAGGAAGGGCAGUAGGUUAAUACCUUGCUGUUUUGACGUUACCAACAGAAUAAGCACCGGCUAACUUCGUG
rnacentral:rRNA from 1 species